rnacentral:rRNA from 2 species
UGGGGGAUAUUGCACAAUGGGGGAAACCCUGAUGCAGCGACGCCGCGUGAGGGAAGACGGUUUUCGGAUUGUAAACCUCUGUCUUCGGGGACGAACGAAAUGACGGUACCCGAGGAGGAAGCCACGGCUAACUACGUGCCAGCAGCCGCGGUAAUACGUAGGUGGCAAGCGUUGUCCGGAAUUACUGGGUGUAAAGGGAGCGUAGGCGGGGAUGCAAGUUGAAUGUCAAAUACAUCGGCUCAACCGAUGUCCGCGUUCAAAACUGCAUUUCUUGAGUGAGGUAGAGGCAGGCGGAAUUCCUAGUGUAGCGGUGAAAUGCGUAGAUAUUAGGAGGAACACCAGUGGCGAAGGCGGCCUGCUGGGCUUUUACUGACGCUGAGGCUCGAAAGUGUGGGGAGCAAACAGG